CCUACGGGUGGCAGCAGUGGGGAAUAUUGCACAAUGGGCGCAAGCCUGAUGCGGCCAUGCCGCGUGUAUGAAGAAGGCCUUCGGGUUGUAAAGCACUUUCAGCGGGGAGGAAGGCGCCAAGGUUAAUAACCUUGGCGAUUGACGUUACCCGCAGAAGAAGCACCGGCUAACUCCGUGCCAGCAGCCGCGGUAAUACGGAGGGUGCAAGCGUUAAUCGGAAUUACUGGGCGUAAAGCGCACGCAGGCGGUUUGUUAAGUCAGAUGUGAAAUCCCCGGGCUCAACCUGGGAACUGCAUCUGAUACUGGCAAGCUUGAGUCUCGUAGAGGGGGGUAGAAUUCCAGGUGUAGCGGUGAAAUGCGUAGAGAUCUGGAGGAAUACCGGUGGCGAAGGCGGCCCCCUGGACGAAGACUGACGCUCAGGUGCGAAAGCGUGGGGAGCAAACAGGAUUAGAUACCCUCGUAGUC
rnacentral:rRNA from 1 species